rnacentral:rRNA from 1 species
CUGCCAGACUCCUACGGGAGGCAGCAGUGAGGAAUAUUGGUCAAUGGGCGGGAGCCUGAACCAGCCAAGUCGCGUGAGGGAAGACGGUCCUAUGGAUUGUAAACCUCUUUAGGCGGGGAGCAAUGCCGGGCACGCGUGCCCGGAGGGAGAGUACCCGCAGAAUAAGCAUCGGCUAACUCCGUGCCAGCAGCCGCGGUAAUACGUAGGGGGCUAGCGUUAUCCGGAAUUACUGGGCGUAAAGGGUGCGUAGGUGGUUUCUUAAGUCAGAGGUGAAAGGCUACGGCUCAACCGUAGUAAGCCUUUGAAACUGGGGAACUUGAGUGCAGGAGAGGAGAGUGGAAUUCCUAGUGUAGCGGUGAAAUGCGUAGAUAUUAGGAGGAACACCAGUUGCGAAGGCGGCUCUCUGGACUGUAACUGACACUGAGGCACGAAAGCGUGGGGAGCAAACAGGAUUAGAUACCCCAGUACA